UACUCAGUUCAGAUUGUAGGCUGCAACUCGCCUAUAUGAAGUUGGAAUUGCUAGUAAUCGCGGAUCAGCAUGCCGCGGUGAAUACGUUCCCGGGCCUUGUACACACCGCCCGUCACACCAUGAGAGCCGGGAACACCCGAAGUCCGUAGUCUAACCAUUAAGGAGGACGCGGCCGAAGGUGGGUUUGGUAAUUGGGGUGAAGUCGUAACAAGGUAGC
rnacentral:rRNA from 1 species